rnacentral:tRNA from 1 species
GAAUAAAAAGCAAAAAUUGCAGUUGGUUUCGGCCCAUCUUUUGACCUUUAGGUCUUUAUUCU